CCUACGGGAGGCAGCAGUGGGGAAUAUUGCGCAAUGGGCGAAAGCCUGACGCAGCGACGCCGCGUGAGGGAUGAAGGUCUUCGGAUCGUAAACCUCUGUCAGCAGGGAAGAAAGGUCACUGUGCUAAUCAGCAGUGAAUUGACGGUACCUGCAAAGGAAGCACCGGCUAACUCCGUGCCAGCAGCCGCGGUAAUACGGAGGGUGCGAGCGUUAAUCGGAAUUACUGGGCGUAAAGCGCUCGUAGGCGGUAUGUCAAGUCAAGGGUGAAAUCCCCGCGCUCAACGUGGGAACUGCCUUUGAAACUGGCAAACUGGAGUGUGUGAGAGGAUAGUGGAAUUCCAGGUGUAGGAGUGAAAUGCGUAGAUAUCUGGAGGAACAUCAGUGGCGAAGGCGACUAUCUGGCACAUAACUGACGCUGAGGAGCGAAAGCGUGGGUAGCAAACAGGAUUAGAUACCCUGGUAGUC
rnacentral:rRNA from 1 species